ACUAGGUUUAAGUUUUCUUUCUUUCCGCUAUGUGUAGUGUUAUGUUUUUGCGGCCAUUGGUUUUUCAUGUUUUCAUCUCUAAUUCUAUAUUUGAUUAUAUUAGAUGGCGUUCUCUGCUGAUAUUACCUUGGUAGCAUUUAUUUCGGUAAGUCCAAGUAUUGGCAUGUACUUCUGAUUCCCGAUGUUCUUGAAUGCUUUUCUGGAAGUAUUGACCGUGAGAGCUUCUUGUUAUCUCUUCAUAUGGCGAAAGAAGCAGAAAACCCCUUUUAUGACUGGGUUUUAACAGUUUAGGGUGCCUUCGCAGCAAUUAACUAUCUCCAUUUCCAGAAGUAUUACUUAUUUGAGCCCUUCCCUAUUGAGAAGGCUCCUACUCAGAAGAUAACCAUGGAAAAUGGACUUCCAGAUAAUUGGGUUACAAUGUCUGAGUUGUUGAACUAUCCAGUCAGAGCUCUUGUUUUUUAGGGUAAUAGUCAUAUGGGAAGAAAUUACUGGUGAAUUGUAAAUUUCCUUCUAUUUGCAUCUACUCUGGGAUGUCCCAACUUGAAGCAUCUUUCUCUGAUGAUGGACUUGUGGAUACUGUAGGGUAUAACUUUUAUUUUCAUAUAUCCAUUAACCCUUGUCAGGUUUAGGGAUUUUAUUAUUAUUGUUAUCCUAUAAAGAUUUAGAUUUGUAAUUCUUUUUCCUAACUGUUUCUUAAGCAGGAUAUGGAGAUAGUUUAUGUUGCUGAUGAUGAUAACUUUGAGUUGACUGGUUCAACUAGUGCAAAUUUUAUUGUAGGUUGCACGAUUUUUCUAGCCAUUGUUCUUCCUAAGAGAAAAAAUAUCACGAAAGGAGUUCAUAUUUUUAUAAGAUUUUAAUAAGUAAUUUGUUUUAUCUUCUCAUGAAUUCAGUCAAGUUAUGCGUCUGAUGUGUCAAGUUAAGUAUCACGGUGUUUUUGUUGGUGUUUGAAUGAAAUUCUGUAGCUUAUGUGCUUCAAUUGUUGUUAUGUUGGUGGUGUCAUAGCUAGGUUGUCUCAAGAGAGAAAUUGAAUCGCGGAAGGUAGUUUUUCAGUUCCUUCCAUGGCUCAUCUUUUUGUAUUUUAUCUUAGUUUUCUCAUCUUAUAAUUUUUAAUGUUUUCAGAUUCUCCACAGAACACCAUCAACAGAAUCAAACUCAUCAUAAUCAUCACCGUUAUCAUUAGACCUUAGAUAGUAGGCCUGCAGCUGCUCCUGCAUAUGGUGGGCUAGAUACACAGGCCUACAACUGCUCCUGCAUAAUUCCUAUGGAGAUCCAUAUGGUACUGCACUCGUGGAUGCUGCAUAUGGUGGUGCAACUGCUGCUUAUGGUUGUUUAGCUGCUGGAUUUGGUGGUACAACUAUUGCAUAUGGUGGUGACGCUGUUGCAUAUGGUGGUGAUGCUGUUGCAUAUGGUAGUGUGGAUUCCGGUGACAAAGGUGCAACCCUUAUUAGUAGCGAUGGAAUCUUGUAAUAAGUUAUGUCCUUAAAAGAAUUUUGAUUUAACAAAACAAGAAAAAGAAACUUGGGAAACAAAGUCAUUUUCCUUUUCUUCUGUAACUUAUCCAUAGUUUAAUUCUC